UAGCUAGCUCCAUCGUGCACAGGUUUGAGUGUUUGAGUUUUUCCUAGUGGCAUUCAACCUUUGAACGGUAGAGAUGGCCA
rnacentral:pre_miRNA from 1 species